CUGGCAUGAAUGAAUCUGCUUCAGGUUGGAGGCAAACCAUCUUCUUGUGGAAGUACCAUGUUGGCCAAUCUCCAACUACUGGAAGGACAUUUGAAUUCUUGGACCUUGAUUUUGACAUUUCUAUGAGAAUUUUCAGAUAACUUGACUGGGAUAUGGUUCUGAAGAUCCAUAUAGUGGCCAUAUGAACAGCAUUGGAUAGUUGUCGUCCUUGUGGUGUCUUAACAACAUUGAUAUUGUGGAAGUCAUCAAUCAUUAGGAUCAGAAAAUUGCCCUUCAAAUAAAACGGUGUCUUGCAUAUCCAAGGACCAUACCAGCUGACAUUCCAGUUGAUGUCAGGCCAU